UACGGGGGGAGCAAGCGUUGUUCGGAUUUACUGGGCGUAAAGGGCGCGUAGGCGGCGUAACAAGUCACUUGUGAAAUCUCCGGGCUUAACUCGGAGCGGUCAAGUGAUACUGUUGUGCUAGAGUGCGGAAGGGGCUACUGGAAUUCUCGGUGUAGCGGUGAAAUGCGUAGAUAUCGAGAGGAACACCUGCGGCGAAGGCGGGUAGCUGGGCCGACACGUGACGCUGAAGCGCGAAAGCUAGGGGAGCGAACGGG
rnacentral:rRNA from 1 species